rnacentral:rRNA from 1 species
CCAGACUCCUACGGGAGGCAGCAGUGAGGAAUAUUGGUCAAUGGCCGAGAGGCUGAACCAGCCAAGUCGCGUGAGGGAUGACGGCCCUACGGGUUGUAAACCUCUUUUGCCGGGGAGCAAAGAGCGGGACGCGUCCCGCCUCGAGAGUACCCGGAGAAAAAGCAUCGGCUAACUCCGUGCCAGCAGCCGCGGUAAUACGGAGGAUGCGGGCGUUAUCCGGAUUUAUUGGGUUUAAAGGGUGCGUAGGCGGAUUUUUAAGUCAGCGGUAAAAUGUCCGGGCUCAACCCGGGCCGGCCGUUGAAACUGGGGAUCUUGAGUGGGCGAGAAGUAUGCGGAAUGCGUGGUGUAGCGGUGAAAUGCAUAGAUAUCACGCAGAACUCCGAUUGCGAAGGCAGCAUACCGGCGCCCGACUGACGCUGAGGCACGAAAGCGUGGGUAUCGAACAGGAUUAGAUACCCGAGUA